CAAGCCAGACGAUGCAGGCCUACGCAACAAGAUGCGCGCUUUUGCCCAAAUUUCUGCGUUUUCGACAGAUUUCUACGUCCCAAGUUGGGAAGGUGCUAAAUCUUGUUGAGACAAAAGUUCAAUGGACCGCUCAAGCGGUUCCUAUCAGAGGCAGACCAAUGCUGGUGGGGUCCGACAGCCCCAAGUUUCCAGAGUUCUUGGCUCCGCCGAGGGACGGGUUUCCCUUCGUGUACGAGGCCGCGGGAGGGGUUAGCGCCACUGCCGAGGAGUGCGCCUCGGACAUGAGGAAAGUCAUUGACGAGUUGCUCAGAAAGCGUGACGAGGGAGGCGUGCUCUUCCGAGGUCUGCCGAUCUCCACGAGCGAGGGGUUCUCGAGAGUGGUCCAGAACCUCGGGCUGAAUGUGUCGCUGUACGUCGGAAACGCGAUCAGGCACCAAACCAACGACUUUGUCUACUCUGCCAGCGAUCAGCCGCCGGAAUGGUGCAUAGAAGCGCAUAACGAGUUGGCCUACACCAACUACUUUCCCGAAAAGGUGAUGUUCUUCUGCCUGGAGCCGCCCGGUCCCGGGGCCGGGGAGAGUCCGUCAUCACGGACGUGCGGGAGGUCCUGCCCCGCCUGGACACGGACGUGGUGGACAAGUUCCGCCGACUCGGCAUCAUGUACACACACUACGUACCGACACGGACUCCGGGUGGUUACAACUCCUGGCAAUAUGUACGUACUACUAGUAUCAUCUUUCACUGCUCUAAAGGACAUUGGCACGACGCCGUCUCAUGCGUCUUUCCAUCAAACUGCCAAGGAUUCCAGCUAAUGUACUUGGGCACGUUUUCUAUGACAAGAGGGGGGAGGGGCGCGACAAAGUGUAAGGUAUGCAACUUACCUGGAGGCAAGCAUUAUAUUCAGAACAUGAUGCACUUGAAGAACAGGUUUUUCCAUUGUCUGCAGACAAUUUUUUCAACAUUUACAUUUGAGUCACACACAAGCCAGACAAUAAUGCAGGCCUAUGCAACAAGAUGCGCACUUUUGCCCAAAUUUCUGCGUUUUCGACAGAUUUCUACGUCCCAAGUUGGGAAGGUGCUAAAUCUUGUUGAGACAAAAGUUCAAUGGACCGCUCAAGCGGUCCCUAUCAGAGGCAGACCAAUGCUGGUGGGGUCCGACAGCCCCAAGUUUCCCGAGUACUUGGCUCCGCCGAGGGACGGGUUUCCCUUCGUGUACGAGGCCGCGGGAGGGGUUAGCGCCACUGCCGAAGAGUGCGCCUCGGACAUGAGGAAAGUCAUUGACGAGUUGCUCCGAAAGCGUAACGAGGGAGGCGUGCUCUUCCGAGGUCUGCCGAUCUCCACGAGCGAGGAGUUCUCGAGAGUGGUCCAGAACCUCGGGCUGAAUGUGUCGCUGUACGUCGGAAACGCCAUUAGGCACCAAACCAACGACUUUGUCUACUCUGCCAGCGAUCAGCCGCCAGAAUGGUGCAUAGAAGCGCAUAACGAGUUGGCCUACACCAACUACUUUCCCGAAAAGGUGAUGUUCUUCUGCCUGGAGCCGUCCGGUCCCGGGGCCGGGGGAGAGUCCGUCAUCACGGACGUGCGGGAGAUCCUGCCCCGCCUGGACACGGACGUGGUGGACAAGUUCCGCCGACUCGGCAUCAUGUACACACACUACGUACCGACACGGACUCCGGGUGGUUACAACUCCUGGCAAUAUAUGUUUAAUACGGACGACCGAAACGAGGUGGAAGAA